rnacentral:rRNA from 1 species
AUUGAACGCUGGCGGCAGGCCUAACACAUGCCAGUCGAGCGGAUGAAGGGAGCUUGCUCCUGGAUUCAGCGGCGGACGGGUGAGUAAUGCCUAGGAAUCUGCCUGGUAGUGGGGGAUAACGUCCGGAAACGGGCGCUAAUACCGCAUACGUCCUGAGGGAGAAAGUGGGGGAUCUUCGGACCUCACGCUAUCAGAUGAGCCUAGGUCGGAUUAGCUAGUUGGUGGGGUAAAGGCCUACCAAGGCGACGAUCCGUAACUGGUCUGAGAGGAUGAUCAGUCACACUGGAACUGAGACACGGACCCGACUCCUACGGGAGGCAGCAGUGGGGAAUAUUGGACAAUGGGCGAAAGCCUGAUCCAGCCAGGCCGCGUGUGUGAAGAAGGUCUUCGGAUUGUAAAGCACUUCAAGUUGGGAGGAAGGGCAUUAAGUUAAUACCUUGCUGUUUUGACGUUACCAACAGAAUAAGCACCGGCUAACUUCGUG